UACGGGGGGGCAAGCGUUGUUCGGAAUUACUGGGCGUAAAGGGCUCGUAGGUGGCCAACUAAGUCAGACGUGAAAUCCCUCGGCUUAACCGGGGAACUGCGUCUGAUACUGGAUGGCUUGAGGUUGGGAGAGGGAUGCGGAAUUCCAGGUGUAGCGGUGAAAUGCGUAGAUAUCUGGAGGAACACCGGUGGCGAAGGCGGCAUCCUGGACCAAUUCUGACGCUGAGGAGCGAAGCCAGGGGAGCAAACGGG
rnacentral:rRNA from 1 species